rnacentral:rRNA from 1 species
UACGAAGGGUGCUAGCGUUGUUCGGAAUUACUGGGCGUAAAGGGCGCGUAGGCUGUGCUGUAAGUCAGGCGUGAAAGCCCCGGGCUCAACCUGGGAAUUGCGCUUGAUACUGCGGCGCUGGAAGGUGGGAGAGGAUGGCGGAAUUCCCAGUGUAGAGGUGAAAUUCGUAGAUAUUGGGAAGAACACCAGUGGCGAAGGCGGCCAUCUGGCACAUUUUUGACGCUGAGGCGCGAAAGCGUGGGGAGCAAACAGG